AGCAGGGACCACACCCCUGCAGGCACGCAGCCCGACAGGCCAAUCGCCACGAAAACCCUGCUCGCUCCUUUGAUUGGUUUUAGCCAUGACGCGCCCUCCCAAAUGCCUCUCGGAUUGGCCUAUUUCUUGGUUCUGACCUGGACGGUGGCCAGAGGAGGACAAGAGGCUUCUGUAAGGGAUGGAGGGACUGAAUGGAAAGACGGCUGGGAUGACCUCUGAGGCACAGCCGCACAUCGAUUAGCGGCCGGGCUCCAGGGACGUGGCAGCCGCUUCUGUGGUGUCGGUGCUGCUGGUGGCGACUGAGAGGAACCGGUGGCGGCGUGGACUGAGCCUGCUGCUGCUGCUACUGCUGCAGCCGCCGCCGCCGCCAAGAUCUACAUGUAAGAAUAGGAUUGCUCGUCAUAGAGUGACUGAUUUUUUGAAGAACUGCCAAACUGUUUUUCAAAGUGGCUGCACCAUUUUACAUUCCCAUCAGCAGUGCAAUGUUCACACAACUGGUGUUACUUUUGGUCCUGUUUAUCGGGGUGGCCUUGGGUUAUCCUGUACAUUUCUCAUUCCUCAUAUCAAGAUAUAAAAUUCAAAUCUUAAAUUUGGAAAGAAGCUGCUUUGAAGUCAUCUGUUCCAAUCCCCUCCCAGUAUAGCAGUCUUGCGUGUUGUGUGCAGUCUGUUUUGUGGGAGCAUUCUGAAUGAUGCUUGUUUUGAAUAAAGCAGAAAUAUGUUGAACCACGGAAUUCGGGAUCAAAUCCUUGAGAAAUACCAUAAAUUAAAUACAAGUAUUCAGGUUGUGUUGCUUUCUGCCUCAGUGCCAGUCGAUCUGCUGUAAGACAUCAGAAAGUUCAUGAGAGAUCCAUUUUUAAAUUCUGGUGAAGAAGGAAGAAUGGACCCUUGAAAGGAUCAAUAUUUUAUAAUAAUUUUGAAAAAUUGGCAGUAGGAGGAAAGCAAUGGCCAUAAGCAUUGAAGAAGACAAAGGAUUCUUCACUGAGACUUUCUACCAUACUAUAGUGGAAGAAAUUUCAAUGAAUGUGGCUGACUUUAUUUUAUUCCUUUGGUGAUAUAGUGAAUGUAGUGUUCACUGUUGCUGAAUAGGUGACUGCAACAUGCAUUGUGCUUCUUUCUUUGGGAAUAUUUGAAUCUUAUCUGAGUACACAUAACAGAUCAAAAAUACAGAUUUUGAUAACAAAGUGACUUGAGUCACAAGCUCUUUUGAGGAAAAUCGUUGACUUUCCUCUUUCAAGUUAGACUAUUGGGAUUGUGUAUGAAAGAUGAGACUAUAAAAAUCUUUCUUAGAAAUUUAUUUUCUAGUUCUGUAAAACCUGUUAUAUUGAGUGUUCUCUAUCAUUUAAAGAAAUAUUUGUGGACUGAAAAUUAUGUCCUGUAUAUAAGCAGCCAAUUCAACUAGUGAUCUGCCUUUAUUGUGUUAGUCAUUAGACUGAAUAGAAUAAACUUUUAAAUAAUUUAAAAAUUA